CGUUCCUUUUAUAACACGAUUGUACCUUGAGGUGCUGAGGAGGCGUCUUUAGAAUGAGCCUUCUCUUUUCCAUGCGAGGAAGGCCUCUUUACUGUUGGUCUCUCUGAGUCCUGGGUUCUCUCUUUAAAACACAAAAUCAACCGAUUAUAUACUGUAGUUAACUGCAAAGUUUCAUCUGAAUCACUGCAAACCUGAGUACCCGUUCUGUCCAGAAAGGAGUCGUCAUCGCUGUCGUAAUAGUCUUCUUCUUCCCAGUUUUUCUUUUUACGCUUGCGAGAGACUGGAGUCAAGAGACCAAAGGAGGAUUAAAUCAUGGUAUGUUUGUGUGU